rnacentral:rRNA from 1 species
UAGUAACGGCGAGUGAAGCGGGAAGAGCUCAAGCUUGAAAUCUCCGCACAAGUUUUGUGUGGCGAAUUGUAGUCUAUAGAAGCGAUGUGAGCAUAGCUGCUCUAGUCAAGUUCCUUGGAAAAGGACAGCAUGGAGGGUUAUACUCCCGUCAUUGCUGGAGCAUGCUGUGUGUACGACACGUUUUCUUUGAGUCGCGUUGUUUGGGAAUGCAGCGCAAAGUAGGUGGUAAAUUCCAUCUAAAGCUAAAUAUAAGUGCGAGACCGAUAGCGAACAAGUACCGUGAGGGAAAGAUGAAAAGAACUUUGAAAAGAGAGUUAAAGAGUACCUGAAACUGCUGAAAGGGAAGCGAAUCGUAUCCAGUGUCUAUAAUCCGCAACAUAUUACAAUGAUGUGUUUUUGCUUUCCGCGUGUAGGUAGUAGCCUUGGUUGCACCUUGCGUGGAUUGGUUGAGACAUAUCGUUGCCCUGUGUUGUGGUGGGACGUCAAAGUCAGUUUGUACGUCGCAGGAAAUGAUUGACGAGGAAGAUAGGUUUGCUGCUUGCAGCGUUCCAUUAUAUCCUUAUCGAUGUCUGCUGUGACGGAGACUGAGGUGUCUUUAACAUGCUCUCGAGUCUAUUAGACAUUCACUUGGUUGAGUGCGUAGAUAGCUUGCUAUGUACGUGUUUAUACACGGUGAUUGUGUUUGGU